rnacentral:rRNA from 1 species
AUUGAACGCUGGCGGCAGGCCUAACACAUGCAAGUCGAACGAGUGGCGGACGGGUGAGUAAUGUCUGGGAAACUGCCCGAUGGAGGGGGAUAACUACUGGAAACGGUAGCUAAUACCGCAUACCAUCGGAUGUGCCCAGAUGGGAUUAGCUAGUAGGUGGGGUAACGGCUCACCUAGGCGACUAUCCCUAGCUGGUCUGAGAGGAUGACCAGCCACACUGGAACUGAGACACGGUCCAGACUCCUACGGGAGGCAGCAGUGGGGAAUAUUGCACAAUGGGCGCAAGCCUGAUGCAGCCAUGCCGCUUGUAUGAAGAAGGCCUUCGGGUUUUAAAGUACUUUCAGCGAGGCGGCGUUGCUCGCAGAAGACGCACCGGCUAACCCUGUGUCAGCAGCCGCGGUAAUUC